rnacentral:tmRNA from 1 species
GGGUGGGUUGCAAAGCAGUGCAGGGCAUACCGAGGGUUCAGGUUUCCUCGUAAAUCCAUCUGAAAAAGUAUAGUCGCAAACGACGAAACUUACGCUCUAGCAGCUUAAUCCUGCUAGACGCUACACCAUCUCUCCCGUGGGGUGGAUUGGGGUAACCCAUACAUAGCGUCAUAUACACGGGAUACGUGGUGCGUCGGGUUACUUGGCGCAUCAUUAACUUUAAGGUAGCUCGCCGUAUGUUUGCUUGCUCGUUGGUGCGCAUGCGGUUAAAUUAAACAACACAGCUAAGUAUGUAGAACUGUCUGUGGAGGGCUUGCGGACGCGGGUUCGAUUCCCGCCUGCUCCACCA